rnacentral:piRNA from 1 species
UGAACGUGUUUAUUCAACAGACCUGGC